rnacentral:rRNA from 1 species
ACGAAGGUGGCAAGCGUUGUUCGGAUUCACUGGGCGUACAGGGUGUGUAGGCGGUUUGGUAAGCCUUCUGUUAAAGCUUCGGGCCCAACCCGGAAAGCGCAGAGGGUACUGCCAGGCUAGAGGGUGGGAGAGGAGCGCGGAAUUCCCGGUGUAGCGGUGAAAUGCGUAGAGAUCAGGAGGAACAUCCAUGGCGAAGGCAGCUACCUGGACCAACACUGACACUGAGGCACGAAAGCGUGGGGAGCAAACAGGA